rnacentral:lncRNA from 1 species
AAAAUUCGUAUAAAAAGGGAUUAUUUCAAUUAAAAUUUUACAAUUAAUAAAAAUGUAAUUACCAAUUCGUAAAAAUCAAAUACUAAUUAUCGAGUAAGUGUAGAUGUGUCUGGAAAUUGCAUAUAUCUUUUGCACCCUAAAAAGAGAAAAUCAUCAAACAAGGUGAGUUUUCCAACAAAGGCUGUGCAGGUUCAUCAUCUUACAAAAUUAGGAGUACCAAAUUGACGAUUUGGUUUGAGAAGAUUGAUGUUGUUGCUACUAACAAUUGUGCUGGUGAAGCUAUCUUACCGUGGAGGAAUGUAACAAUAGUGAUUAACCAUUCCACAGCCACAACCACGAUUUCUCCAGCACAAUAAAUUGCCCGCUUACAAAACCUUUAUUCUUUUUAGGUAUGUAAUUCCGUUGAGGACUUACCCGAAACAGAUGCGCUACCCAGCGCGUAACCUUGUCUCCCCUACUCCUCUUCUGGUUAUGCCAUUACCAAUCGCGGGUAACCCCCGGGCCGGCCGCCCCUGACCUAAUAAGAACGAUUAUCCUUAUGACCAAACAGCGAUAGUUUCACGAUCCCGACCAGCAACUUGUUGGGAGUAGGGGCAUCCAAGCUUGCGCGGCGCAGCAGUUCUUCCAUACCAACUUAGCAGCCCGGCGCUGCUAUUGGCAUAACAACCGGUACACCAUAGGUUGGCCCAACCCAGUCCUCUCGUACUAGGGUUGGCUCCUCGCAGUUCUCCCUUUAACACCAACGGUAGAUAGGAACCGAACUGUCGGAAGCUGUCUUGUCUCGCAAUGGCAGAAGAAAGAGAUAUCAUUGCCAAUCGGGAGGAAAGGAAGAGGAUUCUCAGCCCGCCUAGAGUAUAGCUUCCAGCUCGGCUAAGCAAGGACUCCAUCCUAAGUAAAGCAGUCUGAAAGAAAGAUGCCACUUGCACUAUAUAUAAUAUGCAUUUUCCUGGUACACCAAGCCUAAGCAGCUCAGCCGUUGAAGCGACCUCUAAGCCAAAGAGAGAGUCUAUGGCGCUACCCCUACUGUCAGGGAGAGGGUCUUUGUCCUCGAGGGAAGGAAGCGUAAGCCAAGCCAGCUUAACUAAUGACUGGUCAUUGUUACCGAGUUCGUUCCAACGACUACGACCGAGCCUUUUUUCUUUUCAUCCUUAGCGCCUCGGUCUAGAGAACUCCAAUAUUUACGGAUAGGGACUUAAAAUUUGUAAUUAGCCUUGUCUUGACUAGCCUAGUAGCUCUGGUUGCUGAACUAUUGAUGAAGGCUUGUCGUAGAUCAGCUUUUAUUGACUACCGGAGAUGGCUUUAUUGCCAUUUCUUUCUUCGCCGACCCGCCUCCCGCUUAGAGCAUGAAAGGGGAGAAGGAAGAAGUCUUACCUGAGUAAGCCUUAGGCCUUAGGGGAGUAACCUUCCGAUCCGGAUUCAAUGAUUAAGGAGUUUUAUUAUGAGCUUUCUUUCAGAAGGAACGGUUAAGUAGAUUGUAAUUCCGUUGAGGACUUACCCGAAACAGAUGCGCUGCGCUACCCAGCGCGUAACCUUGUCUCCCCUACUCCUCUUCUGGUUAUGCCAUUACCAAUCGCGGGUAACCCCCGGGCCGGCCGCCCCUGACCUAAUAAGAACGAUUAUCCUUAUGACCAAACAGCGAUAGUUUCACGAUCCCGACCAGCAACUUGUUGGGAGUAGGGGCAUCCAAGCUUGCGCGGCGCAGCAGUUCUUCCAUACCAACUUAGCAGCCCGGCGCUGCUAUUGGCAUAACAACCGGUACACCAUAGGUUGGCCCAACCCAGUCCUCUCGUACUAGGGUUGGCUCCUCGCAGUUCUCCCUUUAACACCAACGGUAGAUAGGAACCGAACUGUCUCACGACGUUCUAAACCCAACUCACGUACCACUUGAAUCGGCGAACAACCGAACCCUUGGGACUGCGAUUCUUUAAUUUAAUUUAAAGUAUUGAAUUUUAUUAAUUUUAUUUGAAAAUUUUGUAGAG